UUUUGUAAUUCGAAUUUCUGUAACUCGACAAUUUUUGUGAGAGAGAAUAGCGAUGAGAUUAAAAUUUCGAAAAUAUAAAGUUACGAUGAUGCAAACUAUUUUAUGUUCGAUUUAUAGACUCGUAUCUCGAGAUUUUUAUUAUAUUAUGAAGAGAUGAUCUUAUUAUAAAUGAAACUUUUAUCAUUGAUGUUUCGUAGAAUUCGAAGUAAUUAUGUGUCACAAUUUAUUAAUAUUUAUUCUUUAGAAUCGUCUCGAAUAAAAUGAAUUUUCCUUUCUUUGAAUUACAGUUGAAAAAAUAUUAAUUUUGUGUAUAGAUGUAUGGAUGUAUAUAUCAAAAUUUAUUGUUAAGCAUGUGUUAUAUAAAAAAUAUAAAAAUGUAACGAUUGGAAAUUACUUUCAUAAUUUUGAAAAGAUAUUAAACAAAAUAUGAAAUUUAAAAUUUGAAAUUUCGAAAAUAUUCAAACAUCUGAAAAUUUAGGCUUCAUUUAAUACAUCGAAUCCAAUUCUCACUAACCUUACAAACGUUACAUUAUCGACUCGAGCAGGACAAGUUAUUUACGUAACUCAAUCCGCCAUUAUAACAUUAAUAAAUUGUUAAUUCGCUGUAAUGAUAUACGAUAUCAAUUUUUCUCCAUUUCUCGCAAUAUGUCAACUAUAUAACCAAUCUGCUAACUUGAAAGCAGAAAACAAAAUUAAUAAUAAUCUCUUCCUUCUCUCUCUUUCUCUCUCUAUAUAUAUACAUUUAUUUCCCUCUUGUCCAACUAAAUUCUAAAACAUUAUUCUCGAACACGAAGGAUAAAACAGACGAGAUAAAAUUUAAAAUCGAACAAAUUUCCUUUACUUCUUUAAAACUACUCCCCGUACGACGUAUUAUGUUACACAAAGAGGGCAGACAUUUUACACCCACGAAUCGCAGUUCCGACUUUCUACCUUUGAGAUAUAUCAAAGUUCGUGGCGGGGGAAUUCAACCGGCAGUAUUUCAGCGAAAACACGGAAUUCGAUUGGCCUGUCUCCAAACGGUCGGAUGGAUAUGCAAAAGGAACGGGCGAAGGUUUAAUAGCCAAAGCGUCCAUCCACCACCGAAUUAAUUUUGAUCAACGUUCCGCAUUCCGUUGGGAGGCCGCCUUUAUCACGCGGAAAACGUUUCGAGACCGAGAUCGAACGCAUCUUCCUUUCCUUUUCGCGAUCGGCGAAUCGUUUACGUUCUCCUCUGAUUAACGUUAUUUUUGGCGAUUCGCCAAACGCACCAAGAAAGUAUCGAGUCGGUCACGCCGACUCGAGUUAUCUCUCGAAUUCUCGAAGAGGAAAAAAUCGUCUGGGCGGUGGGUGAUUCGAUUUUAUGGAUUCGAAACGACGACGGAGGAGAAAUGCAUUGAAUCAUCGAGAAUUGAUGGAAGAAAUUUUUUGAAGUGGAAGUCGAAAGAGUUUGGAAAUUUCUUUUUAGAAAAUAUCUUUAUUUAAAGAAAUAUUUGAUUGUAAAUUUUAAAAAACAAUUUAAAAAACUUUCAUUUCGUAGAAUUUUAAACUUUUGUACUCGGUUUUUGAAAGUGAAGAGGUUCUCGAAUAUUUAAAAUUGAAAAAAAUUGAAGGAUUUAGAAGAGAUUCAAAAUUUUUUUGUCCUUAAGAAUACUUCCAUUCAGAAAUAUUUUAAUUUACUUUAAGUAUUGAAAUGAAAGUUUGACAGAUGAAUGGAUUUAUUCAUGAAUCUUUGAAUUUAUUGAUUCUAUUUUAAGAUUUAUAAUGAAGAUUAAGAAUUUUUGAAGGAAUUAUUUCAAUUUUUCCAGUUUAAAAUGAAUGCUUUCGUUAAGAAAAUUUAGAACUUAUUGUUAAGAAGAAGUCAUCAAACAGUCUUUUUCGAUGUUUGAACGAAGAGUCAGAAUUUUGAAAAUAUUUUGAAAUUCUGCUAUUUUAAAAUGAAUGCCUUUGUUCAUUAUUUAAAUGUGGGAAGCAUAAAUGAUUGUACAUUCAAACAAUCGACGCUUUUAAAUAAAUCUUGAAAUUUUUUUAUUUUUAAGAUGAAAUACCCUAUUCAAGAUUUUUCGAUUUUCCUUGGAUAUUCAAAAAUAAAUGUCUCUCGAGUUUCAAGAUUUCAAUAUUCUGAAAGAAAAGUUUGUUCGAAAGAAACAUUUUUCCUUAGAAUUCUUCCAUAAAUAUCUCUACUUCAAAUUUAUGUUCAUAUUCUCCUAUUUACCUAUCAAACGAAACUCAAUGAAAACAAGUGUAAUUCCUAAAAUUAACUCCAACUUCUUUCAACGAAAAUAGGAUAAUCCAUCCAGAAAUCAAUCUUCCAUCCAAAAGACUCAAAAUUGAAACGACUGAUAAAACCAGUAACCCAUUAUCGUAACUAUAUCGUUGCGAUCCGUUUUCGAUUCUGAUCUAAUAGUUAAAUAUAUCCGUUACUCAUCCCAGUCCUCCCAACAAACUACAUCAAUCUGCCAUCUUUAAAAAAAAGAAAAAAAAAAAGAAAAAAUUAAACUUCAUCCAAAAACCAAGAACCGGAGGAACCUCUCCGGUUCAUCACCUCCGGUUAUUAGAGGCGCGCCACUAAUCACCGUGGCGUGUACGAUUAAAACGCGUUUCUUGGAUUAAAAAAGCAACGAGCGUAUAGUACCACGUUUUCGAUCGAACGUCAAUGUGUUUAUGCCUCAUAGGUAUCUUUGUAAGGUGACGUCACCGACACGGACGAACGAAUGGUAGGAUAAAACCGGACUGACUGGUGGCGUUCUCCGAACGGUGAGGUUCGCCACACCGCGACCCACGGGGAUCGGAGACGAUCCCUGAUGGAAAAAGAGGAGACGAGAAAUUAAGCGAGAUCGCGCGUGUACAGUCAGGUUAGAAUCGUGAUUCACGGUUCGCGGAUUUCGCGGACCCCCCCGGAAAUCGCGUGUACCUCCCUUCAUCCGUCUCUUCCGUAUAACAAUGCGUGAUGCCAUUGUUGCUGUUUAUGGUAUUAUCGAUGGCGUUAUGUCAGGCUAAUUACGCGUUAUCUGGCAACCAAGCAGUCAAAGUGCUGCUGAGAGAUUAACGAGUGGAGAACGUUAGGUAAAAGUGCAAAGACGAUGACCACUUUCGCCGAGCUUUCUUUCGAGAUGGGAGGCACAUAGGAAGGAAUUUAUUUCGAACGAGAUGGGAAUUGGUUUUGAGAUGGAUUACGAAAGAAAGAUGAUAUUACGAACAACGUUUUUCAAGGUAAGACGAACUCGUGAGCAGCAUACGUCCAAGGACGGGAUGAAAUCGAGGUCGAGGGAAAAUCCUGACAAAUCGGACGGGUUUUGGGCAAUGUUGCUCUCGAGUAUAAAAAAAUCCAUUCAAACCGAGUACGUAACAUUGGGGAGAAAAUGGGAUACUACGAUUCGUGGGAUUAAUGAUAAAAAAUAAAUUUUACUUCGUUGAUUAAUACGAGUCUCGAUCUAUUCUAAGUGGUUUAUAUAAAAAUUGAUAUCUACGAUUACAAAAAAAAGGCGUAUAUAUGGGACACGAACAAGUUUCGAAAAAUAUAAAAGAUUCUCUUAUGUUAUUUUAUCUGAUUAAUUAUCGGGCAAUCACCUAAAUCGACCCACGUUCAAGCAAUGACAGCCACAACGUAAACCGCAGCAGCAACAACACUCGCGUGACACAUGUCACAAUCGUGUCACAUCACCGGUCGAUCGGUCGUAGAAGCCAGUCGACUCAAGACUGACGGAUCAUCCCGUUUCGAAUGCCGCCCAAGUGUUUUGCCGCGCAUGCGCGUUGUUGAACGCGCACGAACGUGGCCGAGUACCGCCGAUCAUGCGCGAAGAGGUAACCGAUUACCCGUGACCCGCUACAUUCGAAAAAAUAUCAAUGCGAUAAUAAGAAUCGUCUGUUCUAAUUGUCGAUAAUUUUCGUUCCUUUGAAAUACGACGAGUUUCCUUUAUGUUAGGGUAUAAAAUACAUGUUUCCUGACUCUUGGAUAACGCUUUAUUUACAAACGUAAGCCAUGCACGCAACGUAUAUGUUUGUUAUAAUGGUUAUACACACUUUAGCCUAAGAAAUUUUGAUUUUCUAGUAUUAAUUGUGAAUGAGUUAAAAUAACAAGUUUUAUAUAUUAUAUAUUUGUUAUCUCGUAUAACAAAGUAAAAAUUGUGUACACGUAUUCGAAAGUAAUUUUUGGUUCGUUAUUAAUGUAAUUAUAGGAAUGUUUUUAUACUUCGGGAUAUUUUUGAUUAUGCAUACAAUAUUACUUAUCAAUACUUUAUAGAUUGCAUUUAACAACAUUUAACAAAUGAUAAAAUAUCACGUAUAAACUAUAAUUAAUUGGUAAAAACAAUUACAGAAUAAUGUAUACUUUCAUAAUAAAAGAUAUUACAACUUA